CUGACAUUAGCAGUCCCCAAACGUCCCAGCCAGAGGGACUUAGGCGUGCUGGCCAUACCGUAAAGGGUUAGCUCAGCUGACAUGGGUUGCUCAAACCCCAAGCGUGGCCCUUGAUUGGCUCCUGGGACGUGACCUCUGAGCCCCUGGAGAAUCCUUCCCGACAACAGCAACUUUGCGUGUCUGAGCGUUUGGGCCGUGCCACAUGGUUUAUGCUGGCCACAGGAUUUAUGGCGAGCACCUGCUUCCUGUACAUCUGAGGCUCUAUCACAUGCUGUAUCAGGCUGCAGAGUUUGGGCAUUUUGCCUAAAGCCAAAACGGCCUGGAAGCCUUCGGGAGCCACUUAGAAGUCAUUUUCUUCUUGUUGCGGGCUGAACUGUGUCCCUUCGAAAUUCAUACUCUGCAGCUGUGACCCACAAGGUGACUGUGUUUGGAGAUGGGGCCUGUAAGGAGACAACUGAGAUUAAAUGAGGCCCGACGGUAGACCCCUGACCCAGCAUGACUGGGGUUCUUGUAGAAAGACAAAGAGACCCCAGGGAUGCCCGUGCCCAGAGCCAAGGCCAUGUGAGGACACAGUGAGAAGGAGCCAUCCACAAGGCAAGGGCCUCUGGAGAAACCAGCCUCCCCAACACCUUGAUCUUGGACUUCCAACCUCCAGAACUGUGAGAGAAUUAACUUCUGUUGUUGAAGCCCCCAGUCUGCGGUAUACUGUUAUAGCCGCCCUAAUGUACCUCUGGAUCUGAUAAAAAAAAAAAAAAGGACUGUUCUCAGGUACUUGGUGCCCGGCCCGGCCCGGGCACUGUGCAAGAUCAACUACCGAGUUUUGCUGAUGAGGCCAAAACAAGUCAUGGAUUCGAUUAAAAGCAAAAACAAAAACACUGCA